rnacentral:rRNA from 1 species
GAUGAACGCUGGCGGCGUGCUUAACACAUGCAAGUCGAACGGUGAAGGCGGAGCUUGCUCUGCUGGAUCAGUGGCGAACGGGUGAGUAACACGUGAGCAAUCUGCCCCUGACUCUGGGAUAAGCGCUGGAAACGGCGUCUAAUACUGGAUACGAGCUGCGAAGGCAUCUUCAGCAGCUGGAAAGAAUUUCGGUCAGGGAUGAGCUCGCGGCCUAUCAGCUUGUUGGUGAGGUAAUGGCUCACCAAGGCGUCGACGGGUAGCCGGCCUGAGAGGGUGACCGGCCACAAUGGGACUGAGAAACGGCCCAGAGUCCUACGGGAGGCAGCAGUGGGGAAUAUUGCACAAUGGGCGAAAGCCUGAUGCAGCAACGCCGCGUGAGGGAAGACGGCCUUCGGGUUGUAAACCUCUUUUAGCAGGGAAGAAGCGAAAGUGACGGUACCUGCAGAAAAAGCGCCGGCUAACUACGUG